rnacentral:rRNA from 1 species
GUUAAACAUAAAGAGCGUAGGGUGGAUGCCUAGGCACUAAGAGCCGAUGAAAGACGCGAUAAGCUGCGAAAAGCUGCGGUGAGGAGCAAAUAUCCUUUGACCCGCAGAUGUCUGAAUGGGGAAACCUACUUAAGAAGACCUUAAGUAUCCAUGGGUGAAUAAAAUAGUCCAUGGAAGGGAACCCGGUGAACUGAAACAUCUAAGUAGCCGGAGGAAGAGAAAGAAAAAUCGAUUUUGGGAGUAGUGGCGAGCGAAACCGAAAGAGCCUAAACCAUUGUGCGAGCACGAUGGGGUUAUGGACUGCAUAAAGUCAAAGACUUGUUACCGGAAAGGAUAUGGAAAGACCUGCCAAAGAGCGUGAGAGCCGCGUAGGGGAAAACAAGUUUAGAUAAGCAGUAUCCGAAGUACCAUAAGACACGAGAAACCUUGUGGGAAGUCGGGGGGACCACCCCCCAAGGCUAAAUACUACUUAGUGACCGAUAGCGCAUAGUACUGUGAAGGAAAGGUGAAAAGGACCCCGGGAGGGGAGUGAAAGAGAACCUGAAACCCUAUGUUUACAAGCUGUGGAACACCGCAAGGUGAACCGCGUACUUUUUGUAGAACGGUCCGGCGAGUUGCAUGUACUGGCAAGGUUAAGCACUAAAGGUGCGAAGCCGAAGAGAGAUCAAGUCUUAAUAGGGCGAAGAAGUCAGUGAAUGCAGACCCGAAACCGGGUGAUCUAUCCAUGUCCAGGUUGAAGUCAACGUAAAAGUUUAUGGAGGACCGAACCCACAUCCGUUGAAAAGGGUGGGGAUGAGGUGUGGAUAGGGGAGAAAUUCCAAUCGAACCCGGAGAUAGCUGGUUCUCCUCGAAAUAGUUUUAGGACUAGCCUUAAUUUAGUCUGAUGGAGGUAGAGCACUGAAUUUUUGCGGGGGCGUCAAAGCUUACCAAUGAAUAUCAAACUGCGAAUGCCAUACAGAUGAUGAUUAGGAGUCAGACUACACGAGAUAAGUUGGGUAGUCGAAAGGGAAAGAGCCCAGAUCUACGGCUAAGGUCCCAAAGUGAGUGUUAAGUGGAAAAGGAUGUAGGAUCUCAUAGACAACUAGGAUGUUGGCUUAGAAGCAGCCAUACAUUAAAAGAGUGCGUAAUAGCUCACUAGUCGAGAGGUUCUGCGCCGAAAAUGUCCGGGGCUAAAACACUACACCGAAGCCAAGGGAUGACGAAAGUCAUCGGUAGAGGAGCAAUCUUACCGACGCAGAAGCCAUACCGAAAGGAGUGGUGGAGAAGUAAGAAGAGAGAAUGCCGGAAUGAGUAGCGAGAGUGAGGUGAGAAUCCUCACGGCCAAAUACCCAAGGAUUCCAGAGUAAAGCUGAUCUGCUCUGGGUAAGUCGGGACCUAAGGCGAGGGAGAGAUCCGUAGUCGAUGGACAUCAGGUAUAGAAUCCUGAACUGCAUAUAAUCAGAAAUGUGGGGACACAGAAACUAAAGUCGAACCCGGGAGAGCAAAGACCGGGAUAAGCGAGGUAGCAGGUGGUAGGAAAAACCGCCACGAAAUGCGAAUGCGUGAUAUGUAGCGAAGAAAAGUAGCGAAGUCGAAUAGGGAGCUGUCAAGAAAAGCCGCUAUAGAGUUAUAUGUACCCGUACCGAAAACCGACACAGGUGGGUGAGGAGAGAAUCCUAAGGCCGGCGGGAGAAGCAUUGUUAAGGAACUCGGCAAAAUGACCCCGUAACUUCGGGAGAAGGGGUACCGAAAGGUCACAGAAAAAAGGCUCAAGCAACUGUUUAGCAAAAACACAGGUCUAUGCGAAACCGAAAGGUGAAGUAUAUGGGCUGACGCCUGCCCGGUGCUGGAAGGUUAAGAGGAGAGGUCAGGCAACGAAGCUUUGAAUCUAAGCCCCAGUAAACGGCGGCCGUAACUAUAACGGUCCUAAGGUAGCGAAAUUCCUUGUCGGGUAA